rnacentral:rRNA from 1 species
UACGUAGGGGUGCAAGCGUUGUCCGGAAUUAUUGGGCGUAAAGAGCUCGUAGGCGGUCUGUCGCGUCUGCUGUGAAAAACUCAGGGCUUAACCCUGAGCUUGCAGUGGGUACGGGGCAGACUAGAGUGCAGUAGGGGAGACUGGAAUUCCUGGUGUAGCGGUGAAAUGCGCAGGAUAUCAGGAGGAACACCGGGUGGCGAAGGCGGGUCUCUGGGGCUGUAACUGACGCUGAGGAGCGAAAAGCGUGGGGAGCGAACAGG